CCAAUUUGACUCCUGGGCAAUAUCUCUGGGUGCUGAGUACUUGAGGAUGGGAGGUGUGGAACCCAGAGAGCCGGAGAAGGAGUAUUUGGGACAGGAGACCAGACAAGAUUUAUUGCCUCUUCUGACACUGACCUUGUAGGUGGAAAAGUCAUCAUUGUGCACAUGAGUCAUCAUUACUCCUCAGAGCUGCAGAAAUGCUGGCCAGUGGAAUUUUUUUGCUGUGGAGAGAAGAUGCCAGCAAAGUUAUCCUUAAGAUCCCUGCAAGCUAGGCUUCAGUAGUGUAUGAACUGAGAAGUACCAGAAGAGCAGGCUGGUUUUUGAAGAGGCAGAGG